rnacentral:rRNA from 1 species
GAUGAACGCUAGCGGCGGGCUUAAUACAUGCAAGUCAAGGGGUAGCAAUACACCGGCGUACGGGUGCGUAACGCGUAUGGAACCUGCCCUUAUCUGGGGGAUAACUCGGGGAAACUCGAGCUAAUACCGCAUAAUAUAGUAAAGAGGCAUCUCUUAGCUAUUAAAGAUUUAUCGGAUAAGGAUGGCCAUGCGUAAGAUUAGAUAGUUGGCGAGGUAACGGCUCACCAAGUCUACGAUCUUUAGGGGCUCUGAGAGGAGAAUCCCCCACACUGGCACUGAGAUACGGGCCAGACUCCUACGGGAGGCAGCAGUAGGGAAUAUUGGGCAAUGGGCGGAAGCCUGACCCAGCCACGCCGCGUGCAGGAAGACGGCCCUCUGGGUUGUAAACUGCUUUUAACUGGGAAGAAAGCAGCUCAUGCGUGGGAAUUUGACGGUACCAGUUGAAUAAGCCACGGCUAACUACGUGCCAGCAGCCGCAGUAACAC